GUAUAAAGUGGCGAACGGCUGAGUAACACGUGGGCAACCUGCCCUUUGCACUGGGAUAGCCUCGGGAAACCGAGGUUAAUACCGGAUACUCCAUAUUUGUCGCAUGGCGAAUAUGGGAAAGCUCCGGCGGCAAAGGAUGGGCCCGCGGCCUGUUAGCUAGUUGGUGGGGUAGUGGCCUACCAAGGCAAUGAUGGGUAGCCGGGUUGAGAGACCGACCGGCCAGAUUGGGACUGAGACACGGCCCAGACUCCUACGGGAGGCAGCAGUA
rnacentral:rRNA from 1 species